UACGGGGGGGGCAAGCGUUGUUCGGAAUUACUGGGCGUAAAGGGCUCGUAGGUGGCCAACUCAGUCAGACGUGAAAUCCCUCGGCUUAACCGGGGAACUGCGUCUGAUACUGGAUGGCUUGAGGUUGGGAGAGGGAUGCGGAAUUCCAGGUGUAGCGGUGAAAUGCGUAGAUAUCUGGAGGAACAUCUGUGGCGAAGGCGGCCACCUGGACCAGCACUGACACUGAGGCACGAAAGCGUGGGGAGCAAACAGG
rnacentral:rRNA from 1 species